UAUCAAUAAGCGGAGGAAAAGAAACCAACAGGGAUUGCCCUAGUAACGGCGAGUGAAGCGCAACAGCUCAAAUUUGNCAUCUGGNNCCUUCGGGUCCGAGUUGUAAUUUGUAGAGGAUGCCUUUGNUGCGGUGCCUUCCGAGUUCCCUGGAACGGGACGCCAUAGAGGGUGAGAGCCCCGUCUGGUUGGAUACCAAUCCUCUGUAAAGCUCCUUCGACGAGUCGAGUAGUUUGGGAAUGCUGCUCUAAAUGGGAGGUAUAUGUCUUCUAAAGCUAAAUACCGGCCAGAGACCGAUAGCGCACAAGUAGAGUGAUCGAAAGAUGAAAAGCACUUUGAAAAGAGGGUUAAACAGUACGUGAAAUUGUUGAAAGGGAAGCGCUUGUGACCAGACUUGGGCAUGGUUAAUCAUCCAGCGUUCUCGCUGGUGCACUUGGCCUGCCCAGGCCAGCAUCAGUUCGGUGCGGGGGAUAAAGGCUUCGGGAAUGUGGCUCCUCCGGGAGUGUUAUAGCCCGUUGUGCAAUACCCUGCGCUGGACUGAGGUUCGCGCAUCUGCAUGGAUGCUGGCGUAAUGGUCAUUAGCGACCCGUCUUGAAACACGGACCAAGGAGUCGUCCUCGUAUGCGAGUGUUCGGGUGUUAAACCCCUACGCGUAAUGAAAGUGAACGCAGGUGAGAGCUUCGGCGCAUCAUCGACCGAUCCUGAUGUUCUCGGAUGGAUUUGAGUAAGAGCAUACGGGGCCGGACCCGAAAGAAGGUGAACUAUGCCUGUAUAGGGUGAAGCCAGAGGAAACUCUGGUGGAGGCUCGCAGCGGUUCUGACGUGCAAAUCGAUCGUCAAAUAUGGGCAUGGGGGCGAAAGACUAAUCGAACCUUCUAGUAGCUGG
rnacentral:rRNA from 1 species